rnacentral:rRNA from 1 species
AUUGAACGCUGGCGGCAGGCCUAACACAUGCAAGUCGAACGGUAACAGGAAGAAGCUUGCUUCUUUGCUGACGAGUGGCGGACGGGUGAGUAAUGUCUGGGAAACUGCCUGAUGGAGGGGGAUAACUACUGGAAACGGCAGCUAAUACCGCAUAACGUCGCAAGACCAAAAAGGGGGACCUUCGGGCCUCUUGCCAUCGGAUGUGCCCAGAUGGGAUUAGCUAGUAGGUGGGGUAACGGCUCACCUAGGCGACGAUCCCUAGCUGGUCUGAGAGGAUGACCAGCCACACUGGAACUGAGACACGGUCCAGACUCCUACGGGAGGCAGCAGUGGGGAAUAUUGCACAAUGGGCGCAAGCCUGAUGCAGCCAUGCCGCGUGUAUGAAGAAGGCCUUCGGGUUGUAAAGUACUUUCAGCGGGGAGGAAGGGAGUAAAGUUAAUACCUUUGCUCAUUGACGUUACCCGCAGAAGAAGCACCGGCUAACUCCGUG